UCUGCAAGGAUCUUCGGUCCCGUCACCUUCUUCUAAUCUCACCUUCGCUCACCGCCCCCGCACUUCUCCGCGGAGCAAGAGAGGAGAAGACCGGGAUGUUGCUGGGGAAGCGACCGAGGCCCCAGGUGAGGCGGACGCCGAGCUCCGCGGAGUUCUCCUCGGCCGUCGUCUUCGAUGUAGAGGCCGCCCAGACGUCUAAUCAGGACGCGAUCGCUUGCCACUUUAAUCCGAGGGAGACGCGGUGGGGCGCGGCGGAGGCUGCGCAGAUCGGGGCCGCCGGGAGAGGAGGCUGUUGGGCGACGAGGCACGUGGGGUCCACGCUUUUCCUCCACAGCGGCGUGCACUGUGGGAACUCCGGCGACGGGACGGCGCCCUUCUUGAGGGCCUGCGGCCUCUGCAAUCGCCGCCUCGGACCUGGCCGAGAUACUUACAUGUAUAGGGGUGACAUUGCUUUCUGUAGCCUUGAGUGCCGCCAGCAACAAAUGAAUUCAGAUGAGCAGAAAGAGAAGUGCUAUCUAACUUCUAUGAAUGAUAAUCCUCUUGAAACUAGCUGCUCCAACCAAUCCGACUGUGAGGCAUCGAUCACUGCUACCUGAGCUAUCAUUGAUAACUGUUCAUAGAAUUUUCAGUGAUUCCAAACAAGAUAUUUCAAAUGCUAUAAUGCAAAGAGAUACAUCAACAGCAUGUAAGAAGUGAUUUGGGAACCUUGACCUAAGAGCUACAACACAUGCAAGUGACUGGAACUUCAAGAUUGGCAGGAUCUUUUGAUGAACUUACUCUUAUCAAGCACUAACAAACCACCAGAUUUAAGGUUGCAAGCUGAAAACUCUACCUCGGUCCUUCAGCUAAGAAUCAAGUCUUGACAAGAUACAAGCUGCAUGCGUUCCAGUCUGUUUCCUGAAGAACAUUUGAAGGGUAAGCUUUGAAAAUGAUGUGACCUGCACAAAGCUGGCCAAUGAUACUUGUACAAGCAGUCUUUAGUGACACCUGGGUCUCUCUUGUACCAUCAUGGUGGGCUUUAUCUCUGAUGACUUGAUAAUAAUGUGGCUCACUCCUGCAAUGUAGACUGGUGACCAACUAAAAGUCUGAUGACAUUAUGCCUCUUCUAUCUCACCAACAGGCAGUGGCUCACAUCAACUGAAAGCUUCAGGUGGAUGCAAACGAAGCCCAAAGACAAGCCAAUUACAAUGACACUGUGGCAGAACCAAAUAUGGGCUCAAUAUAAUGGGCCGGACUGGCCCAAUUUUGAUCGUAAACCGUAACGGCCCUGCCAUGUAAGGAAGGUGCCGUCGUUUGAGCGGAGUCGAAUACGAACGAGAAGAGGAACCAAGAGAAUCUGUAAAGCGAAAAGGAGCAUAUCUAGGGUAUCUUCUUCCGGAUCUCUCUAGCCUGAAGGGAUCGGGCUCAAGUAGCACAUUACUUUUCCGCGAGGAUCGGCUGGUUUUUAGAGGAUUUUGAUGGGAUCAUUCUUGAGUGUGCCUGCUGCUAAGUCUGGUGAAGGCGUGCAUUGUGAAACAUCCCGUGGUGAUGCAAACAAAAAGAUAAGAAUAUCGUCGUAUUUUGAUGACAACCCGAGGCUGAUCCCUAGUCUUCCAGAUGAAGUCUCGAUUCAAAUCCUAGCGAGAUUGCCGAGAAUUCACUACUUGAAUGUGAAGUUGGUUUCCCGGCGAUGGAUGAUUGCUGUCAUGAGCGGUGAGCUGUUUCAGCUGAGAAGACAACUUGGGGUGACUGAAGAAUGGUUAUAUGUAAUGACGAAGACAGGAGGGGACAAGUACUUGUGGCAGGCAUUGGACCCUCGUUCGGGAAAAUGGCAACGGCUGCCGCCGAUGCCCCAUGUUGUGGAUGAGGAAGAGCCAAAGAGGGGGUUGCCUGGAUUUUGGAUGUGGGGUGUGGUGGGCUCCAGCAUCAAACUUGCUGAUUUCAUAAGAGGUUGGCUCGGGCGCAGGGAUAACUUGGAUCAGAUGCCCUUUUGCGGAUGUGCAGUUGGUGUUGUCAAUGGCUGCCUCUAUGUAUUAGGUGGAUUUUCUCGAGCCUCUGCCAUCAAUUGUGUUUGGCGGUAUGACCCGUGUCUUAACUUGUGGCAGGAAGUGAGCUCUAUGACCAGUGCUAGGGCUUUCUGUAAGACAGGCAUAUUAAACGACAAACUUUAUGUUGUGGGGGGGGUCGUGAGGGGAAGAAAUGGCUUAAUUCCUUUACGGACUGCUGAAGUUUUUGAUCCCCUAACAAGUCUUUGGACAGAGUUGCCAAGCAUGCCUUUCGUGAAAACACAGGUGUUACCUACUGCUUUUUUAGCUGACAUGCUGAAGCCUAUUGCAACCGGAUUGGUUUCAUAUAGGGGAAGGUUGUGUGUUCCACAGAGUUUAUAUUCUUGGCCCUUCUUUUUUGAUAUUGGAGGUGAAAUUUUUGACCCAGAGACAAGUUCGUGGGUGGAAAUGCCACAUGGUAUGGGUGAUGGUUGGCCUGCUAGGCAAGCGGGAACAAAGUUGGGUACUGUAGUCAAUGGAGAUCUAUAUGCCUUGGAUCCUGCUAGUUGUUUGGACAAUGGCAAGAUAAAGAAGUAUGAUAAUCAGGAGGAUGUUUGGAGAGUUGUUAUAGAAAAUGUACCAGUUCGUUAUCUCACUGACUCUGAGUCUCCAUUUCUGCUUGCUGGUUUACUUGGGAAGCUCCAUGUUAUCAUGAAAGAUGCCAAUCAUCAUAUUGUGAUAUUGGAAGCUGACUUACAGAGACGUACAGGCUCAAAUGUUUCGACUUCAUCAACUGCUCCAGCUGACUCUAUGACUGACAACCCUGUUUCCUUGGUAGAGGAAGAGCCUGAAUUUUGGAAGGUCAUUGAUGCUAAGGAUUCUGGGGUAGCAGAGCUUGUAAGCUGUCAGGUCCUUGAUAUUUGACAUACUAGGAUUUGGGAAUCAUCCAACUAUCAUAAAUACAUCAUGGCCUAACUACAUGAUGGAGCUUGCAUUUAUUGGUAUUUAAGUACAUAUCAGCUAUGCUUUAUAGUGGAUAUACCUUUUUGGCCAGUACAUAAUAAAGGAAAAUCGGGGGCCUUGUCGGAAGCAUGACUUGAUAAAUCUAUGAGGAGUCACCUGGAAGUUGAGAAGUUAUUCUGACAUUGCUAUAUAUUACAGUUUUCUUGUCUAUUUCAGCAGCCCCAGUGCAGGGAUUUGAAAGUGAUGCCAGACGGGAUACUUAAGGUUUCAUGGUCCCAGAAGCUAUCCAUUGUGGAGGAACAAUCUUAAAGUUGCAGAGAAAUUAGAUAACUUAAGAGAAGCAAGAAGAUUUGCAGGCAUCAACCCUGAACAUCCGACAAUCCAGUGGAUUUGCAGAAUGUCACAGGAACCGUCAGAUUUGCAGGCAUUUCCACCUACCAUUUCUUGGCAUAUACCCCUCAUCUAAAUCUUCCAGUGUUGGUAAUCCCAGAAAGCGAGCUUUUUGUGAACUCAUUUUCAGUGUUCUUUGUAAAGAUACUAUAUUCAGAGUGUUUUUUAACAAUUCAGUGGACUGUUAUACUUAAAGGCUAUUAUUUCUUGAAGUGCAAUAAAUUGAAAUUAUAAUAACAUUUACUUCCACUUGCCAAGGGAGUUUCUGACUGGACUUACAGGUAAAUGAUCAUUUUUCGGAAGAUUUUAGAAGUGGCUGGUCAUCUCUAUACUGGUUAAAAGAGUACUAGGAAGCCCAGUUUGCACCACAGAUGGAGUCGUGGUUAUGGUCAAUUGCAUGCAUGAGGUUAGUGCAAGGUGAUGUGAGGCUUCAUAGUGUUCCACUUAUGGUUAUUUUGUGGUAUUCUUAAAUCUUUAUAUGGCAUUAUCUAAGUUAUUUUACAUUUUAUUUUAUUAUUGUUUUACAGAUUCAUAUGAUUUUUCAUGUAUUUUUCUCUAUCUUCAUGAGGUCAGUGCAAGGUGAUGUGAGGCUUCAUAGCGUUCCACUUAUGGUUAUUUUGUGGUAUUCUUAAAUCUUUAUAUUGCAUUAUCUAAGUUACUAUACAUUUUAUUUUAUUAUUGUUUUAAAGAUUCAUAUGAUUUUUCAUGUAUUUUUCUCUAUCUUCAUGCGAGUAGAACCGUGUUUUCCCAUUUUACUGAGUGGUAAGUUGAACAAUUAUCUGCUAGGUAAAACAAUGUGGUCAUCAUAUUCCGAGCUUUGAACAUGUGAAAAAGUCAAGAAAUACAACCAUAGUUCUACAUUUUUCGGGCUUGAUUUUGUCAUAUUGGUGGAAACUUUGCUUUCUACUGAUUGGGCAAGAUGUAUAGUGUGAAAUUUAUUUAUUUAUUUACUUCAGAUGAUCAUUUAAAAAAAAAUGUUCAUGCAACAUUAUGGUAAUUAGUUGGCAUAUCUAUUUCACAUCAAACAAAUUCAACUUACACCGACAACAAUUAACAAUGGAUCAACACAACCCAUUAUGAGUAAUCCACAGUACAUAUAUUUCUUUUGCUUAUUAAAAGUUUCUGCAGACAGUAGAAAAAAUGAUUGCACAAAUGACAGGCUAUCAGUCAAAUUGGCCUUCUGACUCAAUACCAUGUUUUAGAAUACUUGUCAGACAAUUAUAUAUACCUGCCAGUAUUUCUUGUCCAAUUAAACACCGAUAUUGGACCAUAUGUGAGUCCAGCUCAGUAUUUCGUUUAUCUUAUUAUUAUUUUCUUCAGUGAUAUCGUGCACAUAUUGGUUUCGUCAUUCGUGUCUAAAAUGUUAUCAAAAUUGUUAUCAGAAUUGUAUUUGAAACAUUGUAAUUUUUAGCUUUCUUUCAGUAGUUAUAAUUGGAUUUGCAUCUAUCUCUAUGAGUCGAAUGUAUUAUCUGUAAUUGGAGAUUCUUUGUUUGUCAUUUCAAUCUGGUGAUAUGCUUCAAACCAGUUAACGAUCCUUUCCGAUCGAGUGCAUCAACUAUUCUAAAGUUGGAUUUCAGACUGCAAAGCUGGCUCCGUUUUAAUGCAACCACUAGAAUUUCAUGAAGUAAUGCUAUUUGGAAAGUCAACACAAGUUCCUUCACAUUUUCUCUUUUAAGUCUCUCGUUAGUGUGUCAUUCUUUGUGAUUGAAUUAUUCCACCAUGAAUUAUUUUCAUAGAUUGGAAGUUCUGAUAUAAUUAUUUGUUGUUAUUUGACUAGAAGCAUGGCUGCAGUUGGACUCUUUAUGGAUGACUUUGUCAAUUCUCUUCCAGGCCAUUUUCUUCAGUAUAUGAAGUGAUUCUGAGAAGGUGAUGUCUCCUUUUGGUUGUUUGUGAUGAAAAGUGCUUCAGAAUCUUAAAUCUUUUGGAACUGCUGUUAUAUAUACCUUUUCAGAGAGAGUUUUGGAACAUCUACAAAGUUCACACAUUGAUGUUCCUGAACUAACCCAUCCUGCCCUGCUCAGAGAUGCAAUUGCAUGCUCAGAGAAACAACUAGCUAAAGCCCCAAAGCAAUUACAUGCUUGUGAUGUAAUUGCUUAUUGAUCUCUUUUGGUCAGUUCACUUGGAGCAAAGUUUAGCUUAAAAUUAAGCUAGCCAUCGAAUGCAAUUUAGAAGUUCUGAUCAGCACCGUUGCCUGGAGGACCUACACAUUGCUUUGACACUGUUUUUAUGUCACCGGUCUAGACAGUGUGUGGAGGAAUCUUGGUAACAAUCUACUAUAACAUGCAAAGAUUUGUGGUUGUAUAAAUUGGAGUCUCAAACAAGAACACCUGUUGCUUUUUGACAAUGAUGUUGGUAAGAUUCUGUGA